GGUGUGGGGGACAUUCCACGUUUUCCGCGCCGUAGCUAACGCAUUAAGUGCCCCGCCUGGGGAGUACGGCCGCAAGGCUAAAACUCAAAGGAAUUGACGGGGGCCCGCACAAGCGGCGGAGCAUGCGGAUUAAUUCGAUGCAACGCGAAGAACCUUACCAAGGCUUGACAUACACCGGACCGCCCUAGAGAUAGGGUUUCCCUUCGGGGCUGGUGUACAGGUGGUGCAUGGUUGUCGUCAGCUCGUGUCGUGAGAUGUUGGGUUAAGUCCCGCAACGAGCGCAACCCUUGUCCUAUGUUGCCAGCACGUAAUGGUGGGGACUCAUGGGAGACUGCCGGGGUCAACUCGGAGGAAGGUGGGGAUGACGUCAAAUCAUCAUGCCCCUUAUGUCUUGGGCUUCACGCAUGCUACAAUGGCCGGUACAGUGGGUUGCGAUACUGUGAGGUGGAGCUAAUCCCUAAAAGCCGGUCUCAGUUCGGAUCGAAGUCUGCAACUCGACUUCGUGAAGUUGGAGUCGCUAGUAAUCGCAGAUCAGCAAUGCUGCGGUGAAUACGUUCCCGGGCCUUGUACACACCGCCCGUCAAGUCACGAAAGUUGGUAACACCCGAAGCCGGUGGCCCAACCCUUGUGGGGGGAGCCGUCGAAGGUGGGGCU
rnacentral:rRNA from 1 species